rnacentral:rRNA from 1 species
CCCUUAGAUGUUCUGGGCCGCACGCGCGCUACACUGAUGCAUUCAACGAGUCUAAAACCUGCUCUGAUAGGGGUGGGUAAUCUUUUGAAUGUGCAUCGUGAUUGGGAUAGAUGAUUGCAAUUUUUCAUCUUCAACGAGGAAUGCCUAGUAAACGCAAGUCAUCAGCUUGCAUUGAUUACGUCCCUGCCCUUUGUACACACCGCCCGUCGCUCCUACCGAUUGAAUGAUCCGAUUAAUAUCAUGGAUUGAGGAUGCAAGCAGGUUCGCCUGUCUUCAUCUUCGAGAAGUGAAGUAAAUCUUAUCAUUUAGAGGAAGGAGAAGUCGUAACA